CGGGAGGCAGCAGUAGGGAAUCUUCCACAAUGGGUGCAAACCUGAUGGAGCAAUGCCGCGUGAGUGAAGAAGGUCUUCGGAUCGUAAAGCUCUGUUGUUAGAGAAGAACACGUGCUAGGUAACUACUAGCGCCUUGACGGUAUCUAACCAGAAAGUCACGGCUAACUACGUGCCAGCAGCCGCGGUAAUACGUAGGUGACAAGCGUUGUCCGGAUUUAUUGGGCGUAAAGGGAGCGCAGGCGGUCUGUUUAGUCUAAUGUGAAAGCCCACGGCUUAACCGUGGAACGGCAUUGGAAACUGACAGACUUGAAUGUAGAAGAGGAAAAUGGAAUUCCAAGUGUAGCGGUGGAAUGCGUAGAUAUUUGGAGGAACACCAGUGGCGAAGGCGAUUUUCUGGUCUAACAUUGACGCUGAGGCUCGAAAGCGUGGGGAGCGAACAGGAUUAGAUACCCUGGUAGUCCACGCCGUAAACGAUGAGUGCUAAGUGUUGGGGGCUUUCCGGCCCUCGGUGCUGGAGCUAACGUAUUAAGCACUCCGCCUGGGGAUUACGACCGCAAGGUUGAAACUCAAAUGAAUUGACGG
rnacentral:rRNA from 1 species